GACGAACGCUGGCGGCGUGCUUAACACAUGCAAGUCGAGCGGUAAGGCCCUUUCGGGGGUACACGAGCGGCGAACGGGUGAGUAACACGUGGGUGACCUGCCCUCAGCUCUGGGAUAAGCCUGGGAAACCGGGUCUAAUACCGGAUAUGACUCCAUGACGCAUGUUGUGGGGUGAAAGCCUUGUGCGGCUGAGGAUGGGCCCGCGGCCUAUCAGCUUGUUGGUGGGGUGAUGGCCUACCAAGGCGACGACGGGUAGCCGGCCUGAGAGGGCGACCGGCCACACUGGGACUGAGACACGGCCCAGACUCCUACGGGAGGCAGCAGUGGGGAAUCUUGCGCAAUGGGCGAAAGCCUGACGCAGCGACGCCGCGUGAGGGAUGACGGCCUGGUU
rnacentral:rRNA from 1 species